CCUAGAACAAAUCUGAGGUGAAACCUGCCCAAUGACUCUUAAAUUAAUGAUUAUAAACAAUUAAAAAAAAAUUUAAAGGACGCAGUAAUCUGACUGUGAUAAUGUAGCAUAAUCAUUUGCCACUUAAUUGGUGGAUAGUAUGAACGGUUAAACGAAUUCUUCACUGUCUAAGAAAGAGAAAUCAUGAAAUUAAAAUAAUAGUUAAGAUGCUAUUUAAAAUUGUAAGACGAAAAGACCCUAUAGAGCUUAACUACAUUCUUUUUCUAAUAAUAAAGAAAACACUUUUAAAAGUAUAAAGAAAGGUAGUUUAGUUGGGGCGACUAUCUUUUAAAAUAAACAAAGAUAAACAAUGUUAAUAAUUAACUUAUUGUAUAAUCCAUAAAUUUAACAAUUACAAAAGUAGGUUAUAAUGACCCGUUAAAACAUAAUAAUAAAAUUAACGAUCAAUAAAUAAAAGCUACCUUAGGGAUAACAGGAUAAUUUUGUUCUAGAGAUCUUAUCGAAAACAAAGUUUGUCACCUCUAUGUUGAAUUAAGAUAUCCUAAUAAUGCAGAAGUAUAAAGGGUAGGUCUGUUCGACCUU
rnacentral:rRNA from 1 species